rnacentral:rRNA from 1 species
UACGGGGGGGGCAAGCGUUGUUCGGAAUUACUGGGCGUAAAGGGCUCGUAGGCGGCUUACUAAGUCAGGGGUGAAAUCCUGGAGCUCAACUCCAGAACUGCCUUUGAUACUGGUGAGCUUGAGUCCGGAAGAGGUGAGUGGAACUGCGAGUGUAGAGGUGAAAUUCGUAGAUAUUCGCAAGAACACCAGUGGCGAAGGCGGCUCACUGGUCCGGUACUGACGCUGAGGUGCGAAAGCGUGGGGAGCAAACAGG